CAGUAGCCGCGGUAAUACGAAGGGUGCAAGCGUUAAUCGGAAUUACUGGGCGUAAAGCGUGCGUAGGCGGUGAGUUAAGUCUGCUGUGAAAUCCCCGGGCUCAACCUGGGAAUUGCAGUGGAUACUGGCUCGCUAGAGUGUGUCAGAGGAUGGUGGAAUUCCCGGUGUAGCGGUGAAAUGCGUAGAGAUCGGGAGGAACAUCAGUGGCGAAGGCGGCCAUCUGGGACAACACUGACGCUGAGGCACGAAAGCGUGGGGAGCAAACAGGAUUAGAUACCCCUGUAGUCCCUGUCUCUUAUAU
rnacentral:rRNA from 1 species